ACGAACGCUGGCGGCGUGCUUAACACAUGCAAGUCGAGCGGUAAGGCUCCUUCGGGAGUACACGAGCGGCGAACGGGUGAGUAACACGUGAGCAAUCUGCCCUUCUCAUCGGAAUAACCAUUGGAAACGAUGGCUAAUGCCGAAUAUGACGUUGGACCGCAUGGUCUGACGUGGAAAGCUCCGGCGGAGAAGGAUGAGCUCGCGGCCUAUCAGCUUGUUGGUGAGGUAAUGGCUCACCAAGGCAUUGACGGGUAGCCGGCCUGAGAGGGUGACCGGCCACACUGGGACUGAGACACGGCCCAGACUCCUACGGGAGGCAGCAGUGGGGAAUAUUGGACAAUGGGCGAAAGCCUGAUCCAGCAACGCCGCGUGAGGGAUGACGGCCUUCGGGUUGUAAACCUCUUUCAGCAGGGACGAAGCGAAAGUGACGGUACCUGCAGAAGAAGGACCGGCCAACUACGU
rnacentral:rRNA from 1 species